rnacentral:rRNA from 1 species
GCAAGUCGAGCGGCAGCACUUCUGGUGGCAAGCGGCGAACGGGUGAGUAUUAGUAAGCAACUUGUCCUCUAAACGGAAGUAGAGACCGAAUGGGGUUUAAUGCCGAUAUGCGUAAGCUGGAAAGGUGCGUUUGCACCGCAAGAGGAUAAGUCUACCCCCUAUUAGCUUGUCGGCAGGGUAAUAGCCUACCAUGGCGAUGAUGGGUAGCCGGCCUGAGAGGGUGAUC